rnacentral:tRNA from 1 species
UGAUAAAAAACGAAUAAUCGUGUUUAAUUUCGACUUAAAUCGUGGACAUAAUCCUUUUUCAA